GUAGUAUUCCCUCCGUCCCAAAAUUCUUGUCUUACAUUUGUUUAGAUACGGAUGUAUCUAACACUAAAAUGUAACUAGAUACAUCCAUAUUUAGACAAAUUUAAGACAAGAAUUUUGGGACGGAGGGAGUACUAA
rnacentral:pre_miRNA from 1 species